CAACCCUCAAGCUCCGCUUGGUGUUGGGCCCUGCCCGCCGCGGCCGGCCCUAAAGACAGUGGCGGCGCCGUCUGGCUCUAAGCGUAGUACAUCUCUCGCUCUAGGGUCCUGCGGUGGCUUGCCAGAACCCCAAACAUCUAU
rnacentral:misc_RNA from 1 species